rnacentral:rRNA from 1 species
AUGAGGAUACUAAGCUGGAACUGUCGGGGCCUGGGGCAGCCCCGGACAGAUCAAGAGUUGGUGUGCCUUGUUGGCACACAUCGCCCGUCCAUCGUCUUCCUCUCAGAAACUAGGCAGAAUAAAGAGAGGGUUAGCAGUCUUAGAGGGAGGCUUGGCCUUAAGAACUGCAUGUUACACGAUGGAGUAGGGAAAGGGGCAAGGAUCGCCUUGUAUUGGGAUGACCUUGUUGAAAUAAAAAAGCUCUCAGUUGGUCCACGCUAUAUUGAUGUGUUGAUUCGCAACAGCCCUAAUGACCAGUGGUGGAGGGACACCUUUGUUUACGGCAAGCCAAAAUCACAUGAAUGA